AGACCCGAAACCCGGUGAUCUAGCCAUGGGCAGGUUGAAGGUUGGGUAACACUAACUGGAGGACCGAACCGACUAAUGUUGAAAAAUUAGCGGAUGACCUGUGGCUGGGGGUGAAAGGCCAAUCAAACCGGGAGAUAGCUGGUUCUCCCCGAAAGCUAUUUAGGUAGCGCCUCGUGAAUUCAUCUCCGGGGGUAGAGCACUGUUUCGGCUAGGGGGCCAUCCCGGCUUACCAACCCGAUGCAAACUGCGAAUACCGGAGAAUGUUAUCACGGGAGACACACGGCGGGUGCUAACGUCCGUCGUGAAGAGGGAAACAACCCAGACCGCCAGCUAAGGUCCCAAAGUCAUGGUUAAGUGGGAAACGAUGUGGGAAGGCCCAGACAGCCAGGAUGUUGGCUUAGAAGCAGCCAUCAUUUAAAGAAAGCGUAAUAGCUCACUGGUCGAGUCGGCCUGCGCGGAAGAUGUAACGGGGCUAAACCAUGCACCGAAGCUGCGGCAGCGAACGUAUCACUUAAAGCGAUUCAGCGGGUUACGAUUGACGGAGCGAAGCGACGUCAAAGCGUAUACAAAGUCGAGUCGGUUUAAGGAUACGUUCGUUGGGUAGGGGAGCGUUCUGUAAGCCUGUGAAGGUGUGUCGUGAGGCAUGCUGGAGGUAUCAGAAGUGCGAAUGCUGACAUAAGUAACGAUAAAGCGGGUGAAAAGCCCGCUCGCCGGAAGACCAAGGGUUCCUGUCCAACGUUAAUCGGGGCAGGGUGAGUCGACCCCUAAGGCGAGGCCGAAAGGCGUAGUCGAUGGGAAACGGGUUAAUAUUCCCGUACUUGGUGUUACUGCGAAGGGGGGACGGAGAAGGCUAUGUUGGCCGGGCGACGGUUGUCCCGGUUUAAGCGUGUAGGUGUGUGUUCCAGGUAAAUCCGGUUCACUUUAACACUGAGGCGUGAUGACGAGGCACUACGGUGCUGAAGCAACAAAUGCCCUGCUUCCAGGAAAAGCCUCUAAGCAUCAGGUAACAUCAAAUCGUACCCCAAACCGACACAGGUGGUCAGGUAGAGAAUACCAAGGCGCUUGAGAGAACUCGGGUGAAGGAACUAGGCAAAAUGGUGCCGUAACUUCGGGAGAAGGCACGCUGACAUGUAGGUGAAGUGAUUUACUCAUGGAGCUGAAGUCAGUCGAAGAUACCAGCUGGCUGCAACUGUUUAUUAAAAACACAGCACUGUGCAAACACGAAAGUGGACGUAUACGGUGUGACGCCUGCCCGGUGCCGGAAGGUUAAUUGAUGGGGUCAGCGCAAGCGAAGCUCCUGAUCGAAGCCCCGGUAAACGGCGGCCGUAACUAUAACGGUCCUAAGGUAGCGAAAUUCCUUGUCGGGUAAGUUCCGACCUGCACGAAUGGCGUAAUGAUGGCCAGGCUGUCUCCACCCGAGACUCAGUGAAAUUGAACUCGCUGUGAAGAUGCAGUGUACCCGCGGCAAGACGGAAAGACCCCGUGAACCUUUACUAUAGCUUGACACUGAACAUUGAGCCUUGAUGUGUAGGAUAGGUGGGAGGCUUUGAAGCGUGGACGCCAGUCUGCGUGGAGCCGACCUUGAAAUACCACCCUUUAAUGUUUGAUGUUCUAACGUGGACCCGUAAUCCGGGUUGCGGACAGUGUCUGGUGGGUAGUUUGACUGGGGCGGUCUCCUCCUAAAGAGUAACGGAGGAGCACGAAGGUUGGCUAAUCCUGGUCGGACAUCAGGAGGUUAGUGCAAUGGCAUAAGCCAGCUUGACUGCGAGCGUGACGGCGCGAGCAGGUGCGAAAGCAGGUCAUAGUGAUCCGGUGGUUCUGAAUGGAAGGGCCAUCGCUCAACGGAUAAAAGGUACUCCGGGGAUAACAGGCUGAUACCGCCCAAGAGUUCAUAUCGACGGCGGUGUUUGGCACCUCGAUGUCGGCUCAUCACAUCCUGGGGCUGAAGUAGGUCCCAAGGGUAUGGCUGUUCGCCAUUUAAAGUGGUACGCGAGCUGGGUUUAGAACGUCGUGAGACAGUUCGGUCCCUAUCUGCCGUGGGCGCUGGAGAACUGAGGGGGGCUGCUCCUAGUACGAGAGGACCGGAGUGGACGCAUCACUGGUGUUCGGGUUGUCAUGCCAAUGGCACUGCCCGGUAGCUAAAUGCGGAAGAGAUAAGUGCUGAAAGCAUCUAAGCACGAAACUUGCCCCGA
rnacentral:rRNA from 1 species